CCUGAGACAAAGGGGGACCGCUCGACUAGAGUUUCAGCAAUAAGGCUACAAAAAGUGGAGUUUUGGAUGCAGGUGGCCCUAUAUAUGUAGUGCCCCUCGACGGCCGAGAUGAGAGCACGCCCAACGAGGGUCUCCCAGAUCGUGACAUGUGACGGCAUCUGGACCUUCCCUCGGUCCGACGAUUCAACGCAUCUGCCCCAGAUUAGGCCACGUCGCCUCCAUCCGCCUGAACGGA
rnacentral:lncRNA from 1 species